CUUGUAGGAUUCUGAGUAACAACAAGAUAUUAUGGUUAAAGAAUGGCUCCUUCUUUGGACUGAGAUCCCUGGAGAGACUAGAUCUGAAGAAUAACUUAAUUAGCACAAUUGAGCCAGGGGCCUUUCAUGGACUUUCAGAACUGAAGCGCUUAGAUCUUUCGAAUAAUAGGAUUGGUUGUCUAACACCAGAAAUGUUUGUUGGACUUAACAAUCUUCACAAAUUG